rnacentral:lncRNA from 1 species
GGAACCUGCUUGGCUUCUAUGUUGAAGCAUAGAAAGGAGGCUAGAGUUGCUGUUGAUGAGUUCUUUAGUUUCAACUACUAUACUUAGGUCUUUGAUCAAUUUCGAGUUGAUUUUUCUAUGUGAUGUAAGGUAAGUAUCUUCAUUCUUUUGUAUAUGAAUAUCUAAUAUUCUCAGGACUAUUUUUUUUUUCCUUUGGCCAUACCCAUAGCACAUGGAGGUUCCCGACCCAUGACCACAGCGGCAGCAAUGCUGGAUCCUUAACCCACUACUCCACAAUGGGAACUCCUAUCGGGACUAUUUGUUGAAGAGACUGUCCCAGAGUUCCCAUUGUGGCGAAGUGGAAAUGAAUCUGACUAGGAACCAUGAGGUUAUGGGUUCGAUCCUUGGCCUUGCUCAGUCGAUUAAGGAUCUGGCGUUGCUGUGAGCUGUGGUGUAGGCCAGCCGCUACAGCUCCGAUUAGACCCCUAGCCUGGGAACCUCCAUAUGCUUCAGGUAUGGCCCUAAAAGGACAGAAAAGACCAAAAAAAAAAAAAAAAGUCCCUAAUCCAUUGAAUGGUCUUGACAUCCUUGUCAGAAGUUUUUGACCAUAUAUGUGGAGAAUAAUUUAUUUUGGGGCUCUAUUCUAUUUUGUUGGCCUAUAUGUCUGUCCUUUUCUCUAUUUUUGCAAAAAAAAAAAUUACUGAGAUUUUGAUAGGGAAUUUAUUGAAUUUGUAUGUCAGUUUGGGUGAUAGUUUCAGACAAUAUGAAGUCUUUGAUUCCACGAACAUGGGAUGUUUUUCCACUUAAAUAUUUAAUUUCUUUGAGAAAUAUUUUGUAGUUUUCAGUGUAUAGGUCUUCACUUCCCUAGUUGAAUUUAUUCCUAAAUAUCUUAUUCUUUGUGAUGUUAUUAUGAAUGGAAUUGUUUUUUAAAUUCUUUUUUGGAUUGUUCAUUGUUAGUGUUUAUAUGCAGUUGCUUUUUGUAUAUUGGAUUUGUUUUCUGCAGCUUUGCUGAAUUUCUUUCUCAUUGCGCUUUUAAUUCGUGUUUUCCAGAUGACCAGUGAUGUUCAGCAUCUUUUUUGUGCACCUGUUGGCUAUUUGCCUUUCUUCUCUGGAGAAAUGUUUAUUCAAAGCCUUUACCCAUUUAAAAAUUUGAGUUGUCUUUUGAUUGUUGAAUUGUUAGAGGACUUUAUAUAUUCUCUAUACUAGACCCUUAUCAGAUACUUGAUACACAAAUAUUUUCUCCCAUUCAGUGGGUUGUUUUAAUUUCUUGAUAGUGACCAUUGAUGCACAAAAGUUUAUAAUUUUGAUGAAGUCCAGGUUAUUUGCUUUUGCGGCAGAGGGAGUGUGCUUUUGAUACUUUAUCUAAGAAAAACCAUUGCCUAAUUUAAGAUUUCAUUUGUUCCUGGGCCUUAAUUUAUAAAGGUAGCUGAUAAAUGACACAAAGAGUCUAAUGCUAUCAAAAGAAGAAUUUAUUACUCACCCUUUCCUCAAGAGUUUGGGCAAGUGUGUCAUGCAGGGCCACGUGAGAAAGCAUCAGUUUUGGUCAGGAGGCAGAAAGUUGCCAGGGGCAGUCAGAGAGCCUUUCCUGGGAGUUCCCUAAAAGAGGCAAAGCAGAGCAGGGAAGACAGGUUAGGACUGACUGCUUUGAAUAAUGUCGGUGGGUUCUGGGCUGUAGAAAUGGACCAGUUGUCUGGUCCUUGGCCCGGCUUGGUAGAGGGCAGGGGAGGUAAUUGGCUUGUUGUGUGAGAAUUUGAUUGAAGGAGGUGAUUGGGAGUCUGCACUCGGGAUUGACUGCAGGGUUUGCAGUAGGAUUCUUGCAUACUGACAGAAGCCGGGUUGCGGGGGAGAUCUGCACAAGUUUGGCUGUUAGUUUGACUGGCAAUUAAUGGAUGCCAAUAGGCAAAUACAGAAUGUAAGCAAACAGAAUGAGGUUGCCAUAAUUCACCUGUUUCCUUUUAAGGGUUUUAUGGUUUUAGCUCUUACUCUAGGGCUUUGAUUCAUUUAUCAGUUAAUUCUUACAUGUGGUGUAAGGUAAUGGACAGCUCUUUUUUCAGCACCAUCUGUUGAAAGAACUUUUCUUUCCCUAUUGAAUGGUUGUUUUAUGUUUGAACAAGGUCGCUAGUUGCUCAGACUGUUAGGGAGAGCAGGAGGGAAAGCAGGAAAAUAAGUGAGGAAACCAUUACAUAAUUCAGUCAAGGUGAUGAUUGCUUGGAGAGGGUGGUAGCAGUUUUAGGUGGUAAAAAGUGGUUAGAUUCUGGAUGUAUUUUGAAAGGAGAGCCGAUGAUGUUUUUGCUAGUUAAUUUUGGUAUAUGAGAAAAAGAGAGGAAUUGAGUGCGACGGUAAGGUUUUGAGGCUGAGUUGGUAGAAGAUAUGGUUGCCAUUUAUUGAGCAAGAUAGGAAAUGUGAGUGGAGCAGGGGUUUUUUGUUGUGGUUUUGCUCUUGGGAGGGCAGGACGGGGAUUGUUAGAGGAAUUAGGUCUUUGGGGCUUGCUUGGCGUCCAAGAAGGAGUGUUGACAAGGCAAUUGCAUAUAUGAGUCUGGGGAUCAAGGAUGAGAUAUACAUUUAGGGAUUGACAGCAUAUAGAUUUAUUUGUUUGUUUGUUUGUUUAUUGUCUUUUUACCUUUUCUAGCGCCACACCUGAGGCAUAUGGAGGCUCCCAGGCUAGGGGUCCAAUCGGAGCUGUAGCCGCCGGCCUACACCAGAGCCACAGCAACGCGGGAUCCGAGCCUCGUCUGCGACCUGCACCACAGCUCAUGGCAGUGCCGGACCCUUAACCCACUGAGCCAGGCCACGGAUCGAACCCGCACCCUCAUGGUUCCCAGUCAGAUUCGCUAACCACGGAGCCACGACGGCAACUCCAUAGAUGAUAUUUAAAGCUAUGAGAUUGGAUGAAAUAAACUACUGAAAUGCUGCUUCAGUGGCCAGCUGGCUGGUGAAGGUCCGUGAACUCUGUUACCAGUUUGCCAUGCGUGUUCAGCGAGAAACUCAGAGUGGGCAAUAUGGCAUCGUUGUGACCUUCAAGCAUUUGAUCAUUUCCACUCAUUCAUUUUUAUUUUGUUUCGUGAUGUUUGUGAUGGACUGAACAUGUCGCUUGGUCUUUCCCCACAGCUGGUUUGAGAAGCACUGACCUGGUGAGGGAGUGAAUCUAGACAGAAAUGAGAUCUAAGGGCUGAGCCCCCGGGAACGUCCGGGUUUACUGGUCAGGGGAGGAGGGAGUCUGUCGGCAAAGAAGCUGACAGCGAACAGCGAGUCGAGCUGGCAAGAAAAAAUGUUGGCAGUUGGUAAGUCUAAGUGGAGGGUAUAUAGAUUCAUUUAGCUAUCCUUGUUCCUUCUCUGAUGUUUUGGGGAGGAAUUAGUGAGUAUAUACUGUUAUUUCAAAGUGAUUUGCUGCAAAGAGGAUCGUAGAAUAGAAAUCAGGUGAUAGUUAGAAAAGCUUAUGGAGUAUUUUUUCCCUCUCUUUUAAAACAUGAAAAGGAGAUAUAUCAUGUUUGUAGGUCAAUGAAGUUAUCCAGUAGUGACGGAAAAGUUGAUGCAGGAGAGGAGAGAAUCGUUGCUGGAAUAUUCUUGAGUAAGCAGAGUGGAGGCCAUUUAGGUCCAUGUGGAGGUAUUGGCCUUAGGCAGGAGUGGUAGCAUUGUGUCCACAGUGGUCUCAGGGACCUCAUCUUACUUGUAAAAGAUUAUGCGUGUAAAAUAUAUGGCAUAGUGCCUUCAAUUAAGCCCUCAACUCUCUGUUAUUCUGGUAGAGUUUCGUGUAGUGCCUAUUACUAGUAGACUUUGAAAAAAAACGGUAGUUGUUUAUUAUCGUUUUAUCAUUAGCAGGCCAUAAUUACCUGUUAGAAGCUAUAAAUUCUUCAUAACAAUGAGUUAGUAAAAUCCUCACCCGUUAAAUGAACAAUAGUGUGCUUUAGAAAAGCCACAGGACAUUGGUCUUCAGUCACUUUGGUUGCAUUAGGGAAGAGAGCAGCUGAAUUCCAAUAUGGGGAGUGAGAACGCCCAGGCCUGCAGUGGUAAGUGCUUUGCUGGGGCAAGUUGGUUAUGAAGUUCUUUUGGCCUGGCUCAUACCGUUUAUUUUAGAUGUAGCUUCCCGAAAUUGAAUCAUUUUCAUUUUUAGAAGGCUAUUUCAUUUUUAAACCCAUCUGGAUUUUUUUUUUAAUGUCUUAGAAAAUCCAGUCUAGAAUAUCUGAUCUAAAAGAGUUAAUAGCUUUGUUGAAAGUAUACCUAUCUGUGGAAAAAGAAUCGAAAGAAAAUGAAAUUCUAAAGCUCUUUGUUUACCCAAGCCAUGAGAGUAUUGUAUUUUGCUUUUCUCAGUCGAAACAGCUCUGAAUGGCUUCUGCUCAGCUCUGUGGAGGGUUCCUCUUGGCAAUUCCUUUCAAAUAAGGUUUUAAAAUUUAUUUAUAUGUGAAUUUCAGCACGGACACCUAGGCCCUACACUUUGAAGCUCAAUGUAAAUAGUGUUUGUCUCUAGUUAACAAGAAAGUAAAGCUUUUCUAAUACCCAUUAAUUACAGCUUAAGGUAAUUAUCCUCAUAUUUGUUGAAGUGUCUUUGCUUUAUUUCCUUGAGGUUGUGAGCAGUCAGUGGAGGUAAAGAACGGAUCGUAGGGGAGUUCCGUCGUGGCUCAGUGGUUAUCGAACCUGACUAGUAUCCAUGAGGACGCGGGUUCAAUCCCUGGCCUGGAUGCAGCAUUGCCAUGAGCUGUGGUGUAGGUCACAGACACGGCUCGGAUCUUGAGUUGCUGUGGCUGUGGCGUAGGCCGGCGGCUACAGCUCCAACUUGACCCCUAACCUGGGAACCUCCCUAUGCCACCAGUGCAGCCCUAAAAGACACACACACACACACACAAAAGAAGAAGAAUAGCCUGUAGAAGUGAAGAGGUUUCUAGAGUACCUCUUGUGCUGUAUGUGUGUGUUGCUGUUGGCGGCUUUUAUCAGACCCGAGGAUGGGUUAUCCUUGGUGGCUUUAUUAAUCCUUGAGGAUGGGUAUCUUUUUGCAGUGUUGACUUUCUCAUUUGGGGAGUGGACUUGGAUGGUAGAUAUUAAAUGAAAGUAAAUGCCAGGUGUCUGCAGGGAUAGGCGUUGGGCAGGGAGGGGUUCCUGGAGCUCAAGGAUAUGAUGUGUCAAACCUUGUCCCUGUGGGAGUUCCCAUCAUGGCGCAGCGGAAACGAAUCCGACUAGGAACCAUGAGGUUGCGGGUUCAAUCCCUGGCCUCGCUCAGUGGGUUAAGAAUCCAGUGUUGCCGUGAGCUGUGCUGUAGGUCACAGAUGCCGCUUGGAUCCUGCGUUGCUGUGGCUGUGGCGUAGGCCAGCAGCACAGUAGCUCCAGUUAGACCCCUAGCCUGGGAACCUCCACCCAUAUGCCGUGGACGCGGCCCUAGAAAGAAAAAAAGACAGACAAACUCUGUCCCUGUGAAACUGACAUGUGAAACAGCGUAUGUACUUUCCUGCUCUGAUGCCACCUGGUAGUAUCUGCCUGGAUGGAUGCUUCUGGAGAGUGUGCUAAAAAGAGAUAGCACCUGCUACACCUGUAAACCCUCUGUGUGGUGUCAGUGGUGCCUGAUAUAAGGCUUUAGUUUCUCUGUGGACUUUGAAAAUCUGGAAAUUUGGGUACCUGUAAAGACUGUGAAGCCCAGAGCGAUAGCCACGUGUUACAUUUAAUGGUCUUUUUAAACAGUUGGGCUUAUCUGGGAAAUGAUCUCACAUAGGUUCUUCGCUUCUCUAGUGGGAAGGCAGAGCUUGGCAGGGGUUGGCAUGGACGGAGCAAGAGUUACUCCGAGUUCCCCAGCAGAAACUUUUUGUUUGUUUGUUUGUUUGUUUAAAAAUGGACAUCGGAGUUCCCCCUGUGGCUCAGUGAACCUGACUAGCAUCCAUGAAGACGAGGGUUCAAUCCCUGCCCUUGCUCAGUGGGUAAGGAUCUGGCAUUACUGUGGUGUAGGUCGCAGACAAGGCUCAGAUCC